UACGUAGGUGGCAAGCGUUGUCCGGAUUUACUGGGCGUAAAGAGCGCGCAGGCGGUCGAAUAAGUCGAAUGUGAAAGCCCCCGGCUUAACUGGGGAGGGUCAUUCGAUACUGCUCGACUUGAAGGCAGGAGAGGGAAGUGGAAUUCCCGGUGUAGUGGUGAAAUGCGUAGAUAUUCGCAAGAACACCAGUGGCGAAGGCGGCUCACUGGCCCGAUACUGACGCUGAGGCACGAAAGCGUGGGGAGCAAACAGG
rnacentral:rRNA from 1 species